AUCCGCUGCUGCCACCAGCACCACGAGGGGGCGGGGUGGGGGACCAACGCCCGGGAUCCCGCCCUCCUGUCUCCGGACAGCGGCCCCCACGUGGGCUCAUGCGUCCCAGACUUCACGGCCCUGGGCACCGGCCUCAGAUCUGGACUUCAAUCACAUUAACUUGAGGCCCCUCAGGUCCCUUCGCCAGGUCUGAGAAGUCUAGGCAAAUAAAGGUGAGACAAGCUGGGACCUGGGACCUGGAACCCUUUGCUGCAGUGCUUGCUCCUGGACAAACAUCUCCUCCAGAAACAAAAUACGAAGAAACUACAAGGGACUAAAAAGUACUGUGUGCAUGGGCAGUUGGGGCAAAUUAUGAACAGCAAGAUAGAAAAAGACCAAAAACCUGACUGCCACUUCUGAAGAGCCGGGAGCAAAAACAGGGUACCGCACAUGCCCCCUGUGCACCAUCAAAGGGGUGGGCAGACCACCUAAGCCACCCCUCCUGCCCAACCCCCGGACACACCCCUAACCUCACCCCAUGUAAGGGACCAGCGAGCCCCACCCAGGAGCGAGCAAGGGAACCUGUUACUUGUUUUCACUGCCCCCUGCUGCAGCAGGGCCCCCAGUAAAGCCUUGCCCAAA